UUGUUUGCUCUCUCUGAACUUCAGCUCAGGUUCAGACCAAUGUUCCAGCCUGUCCAGUGCAACAGCACAAAACCAGCAGGAGCACCCUGGCCACCUGCCAGCCCAAGCUGGCAAACAUCACCAUGGCUGCUAUCAAGAUGUUCCCAGGCACAAUUCAAUAAGUUUGAUAUACUGAGCAUGAUGCUAUAUGGUAUGGAAACUCCCUUUGGUCAGUUUGGAUCAUCUAUCCCAGCUGUGUACCUCCCAUACACCCCCAAUUUCCUCACCAGAGCAGUGGUACAAAAAGUGGAAGAGUACUUGGAUCUGUGUAAGCCCUGUUCAGCAACAAGAAAAACAUCUCUGUAUUAUCAACUCUGCCCAGUCCAGAUCCAAAACACAACCCCACCUCACCCACUGUGAAGAUGGUCAACCACCUCUGCCCAAAUCAACACACAAGAUCACCAUAAACUGUUAAAGGCUCUUACUUAGACACUCAUCUCCUAUGUAAGUAGAUCCUUACACAGUCACCAUCUAGAGUGGGUGGGCAGUUCUAGGUAAAGAGGCUUCAAUUUAUGUGUGUCAAAUUAAUACACAGAUCUGCAGUUCACAUGCCUGUCUGCCAUUUCCAUGAGGUCUGUUUAGAAGAAUAAUGUAUUCUUAAGAACUUUUCUAUCAGUAAAGCAAAAGAACAGCUCUUCAGUUUCUUCUGGUUCAUUCUAAAGCUACAGGGUUACCAAAACAAAUUUUUAGGAAGAGUCAGAUUUCCACAACCAGAGACUAGUGCUGAAUGGUUCAACAUCCAAUUGGAGAUUAGUGAUCAGUGGUGUCAUCAGGCUUCCAAAUUGGGAUCAGUAGUAUUUAAUACCUUUAUCAAUGGCAUAGACAGUGGGGUUGAGUGCACCCUCAGCAAAUUUGUAAAUUACACCAAGCUCAGUGGUAUGGUUGACAGCCCCGAGGGACAGGAUGCCACCCAGUGGGAGCUGGACAAGAUCAAUAAAUAAUCCCAUGGGAAUCUCAUGUGAGUCAACAAGGCCAAGUACAAGGUUCUCUACCUGGGUUGGGACAAUCUCUGAUACCAAUAUAAGAUGGGGGAUGAAGGGAAUGAGAGAAGCCCUGCUGAAACAGCUUGGGUGGAUGAGCAGCUGGACUUAGCCAGCAAUGCACUCUCAGUCCAGAAGACAACUGCAUCCUGGGCUGCAUCAAAAGAUGUGUGGCCAGAACAUCGAGAAAGGUGAUUCUGCUCCUCAGCUUUCCUCCUGUAGGACACCAUUGUGACACUGUGGUCCCCACCUUGCCUUUUUCUGCUUAACCAAUGGCCACCAGUGGUGGUUGUGAUAGCUGUGUCUGACUUACAGAUAUCAAUCCAAUAGCUAAGGACCCUAAAUCUUGUUCGACAACUAAGGGGAGUUAGUUUUGCCAACAGCUCAGGGCUAGUUGACCAUGCAACAACCCAAAAUACAUCUGGUAUGUAAAUAUGACUGUAAGUCAAUCUUUUAUUCCAUGAAUAGUGGACAGCCUGGGCCCAUUGAGCUGUCCCUCAUGGGAGUGAAUCGCAUGCCAGGAUCUCUCCUUGAGCAGGAACACCUCUCAGGCCUACUCCUUAUUGCUGAGAGACCUCUCACUGCAACAGAUUCUUGGUGAAGUGAGAAGUAAGUAUCACUUAAUCUGUGAUACUGUUCUGGAAUACUGCAUUCAUCUUGGGAGUCCUCAGCACAGGAGAGACAUGGAGGGGGUGCAGAGGAAGGCCACAAAAAAGGUCAAAGCAAUGAAACAGCUCUGAGAGAGCUGGGGUUGUUCAGCCUGGAGAAGUCCUCUUAAUACUUAAAGGAGGCUUAAAAAAAAGACUGGGACAGACUUUUUAACAGGGUUUGUAGUAAUAGGACAAGGUCUCAUUGUUUUGAAAUAAAAGAGGGUAGAUUCAGAGUAGAUAUAAGGAAGACAUUUUUUACAAUGAGAGUGGCGAAACACAAGAACAGGUUGCCCAGAGGGGUGUUAGAUGCCCCAUCCCUGGAAAACAUGCAAGAUCAGUCUGGACAGGGCUCUCAGCAACCUGGUCAAAUUGAAGAGAUGUCGUUGCAGGGGGCUUUGACUAGAUGACCUUUAAAUGUUCCUUCCAACCCAAUCUAUUAUAUUUCAAAUUACUUUGGGGUCUCUUGCUUAAUGGGAAUUGCUUGAGUUAAAAAAAUUCAAUAAACAGAAGACCAAGAAACCAACCUUUUCUUCCUUAUUGGGAGGACUGUUAGUUGAUGUGGAACAGAACCUCUUGCAGAGGAUGUGGAACAGAACCUCUUGCAGACCAAAUGAGCAAUUAUUUUUGGCACAGCAGAACACUGCUGUUCCUCUCCCAAAGAUUCCUUGAACAAAUAUACUUACCUGUCUUCCUUCCUCUGUUUUGUGAUUGUUCUCACAGAGAGCUCUUGCCAUGCAAGAUAAACAAGAGAACAUAAUCCAGGGAGUGCCCUGCUCGGGAAUAAGCAGGGUAAUUAUCUGCUAAAGGAUAAUUGGGUCAAGUGUGCAUCAUAUGCUUUAUGCUUUCAUUUGGAGCAUAAUACUUGUCUCUGGAAUCUUCUUUUUAGUUCAUCUCUUGUUUUGGUAUGCGUGGCUUUUCUUUUUUGUUUGUUUGUUUGGUUGGUUUUUAUUGUUUU